UACAUGGGGUGCAAACGUUGCUCGGAAUUAUUGGGCGUAAAGAGCUUGUAGGCGGUUUGUCGCGUCUGCUGUGAAAUUUCGGGGCUCAACCCCGAACUUGCAGUGGGUACGGGCAGACUAGAGUGUGGUAGGGGAGACUGGAAUUCCUGGUGUAGCGGUGAAAUGCGCAGAUAUCAGGAGGAACACCGAUGGCGAAGGCAGGUCUCUGGGCCAUAACUGACGCUGAGAAGCGAAAGCAUGGGGAGCGAACAGG
rnacentral:rRNA from 1 species